CCUACGGGAGGCUGCAGUGAGGAAUAUUGGUCAAUGGACGAGAGUCUGAACCAGCCAAGUAGCGUGAAGGAUGACUGCCCUAUGGGUUGUAAACUUCUUUUAUAUGGGAAUAAAAUGUUCCACGUGUGGGAUUUUGUAUGUACCAUAUGAAUAAGGAUCGGCUAACUCCGUGCCAGCAGCCGCGGUAAUACGGAGGAUCCGAGCGUUAUCCGGAUUUAUUGGGUUUCAAGGGAGCGUAGGUGGAUUGUUAAGUCAGUUGUGAAAGUUUGCGGCUCAACCGUAAAAUUGCAGUUGAAACUGGCAGUCUUGAGUACAGUAGAGGUGGGCGGAAUUCGUGGUGUAGCGGUGAAAUGCUUAGAUAUCACGAAGAACUCCGAUUGCGAAGGCAGUUCACUGGACUGCAACUGACACUGAGGCUCGAAAGUGUGGGUAUCAAACAGGAUUAGAUACCCGAGUAGUC
rnacentral:rRNA from 1 species